CCCUACGGGGGGCAGCAGUGAGGAAUAUUGGACAAUGGGAGAGAUCCUGAACCAGCCAAGCCGCGUGAGGGAAGACGGCCCUAUGGGUUUUAAACCUCUUUUGUCGGAGAACAAAACCCGGGACGUUGCCCGGACUGCGUGUAUCCGAAGAAAAAGCAUCGGCUAACUCCGUGCCAGCAGCCGCGGUAAUACGGAGGAUGCGAGCGUUAUCCGGAUUUAUUGGGGUUAAAGGGUGCGUAGGCGGUCUGUUAAGUCAGCGGUA
rnacentral:rRNA from 1 species